GAUUAAGCCAUGCAUGUGUAAGUAUAAAUAGUUAACUUUGAAACUGCGAAUGGCUCAUUAUAUCAGUUAUAGUUUAUUUGAUGAAGAAUACUAAUUGGAUAACCGUAGUAAUUCUAGAGCUAAUACAUGUAUAAAGUCUUGUAGACUGCAUUUAUUAGAAUGAAAACCAUAGGUUUCGGCCUAUUCGUGAGUAAUAAUAACUAAUCAUAUCGUAUGCUUAUGUAACGAUGUGUCUUUCAAGUUUCUGCCCUAUCAGCUUUCGAUGGUAGUGUAUUGGACUACCAUGGCAGUAACGGGUAACGAAGA
rnacentral:rRNA from 2 species